UAUUUUCCAAAUUGUUUAACCGAAUGCUAUUCCUCAGUUCAUAGGGGAGAUGAGGAAAAAAUGCUCAAAUCCUACAUCUGCUGUAACUUCCCACCAGAAUGCUAUCACCAGGAAAACUGCUCCCUGGGUUUCUGUAAGAGAAAAUGUCGGUCACUGCAGAAGAGACCUGAGCUCAGAAGUCUCCUGUGCCAGCCAUGUUUUCAGUCAUGCAGUCACACACUGACUUAAUUUUGGACUUGUACACGGCUGUGUGUGAGGAAGACAGCGAGGCAGAGAGUUGGCCAGGUGGAUCCCUCCACUUGUGACCGUGACCAGGAGCGGACGCUGUAAGACCCGCUGUCCUGCGGCAGCGGAGGAGCCCGGAGGAGCCCAUGGAGGGGUGGCUGAAGGAGCAAAUGCCUUUAUGGUGACGGCGCUGCUGCUUCGGGAGCCCCGGGACAAAGGGACAAAGGCAGGACGCAAUUGCCAGCAUCAGGCCCCGAUGGGCUACCAGUAUCAGGCACCGUGGCACGUUGCAACUCCACUACGUCGUGCUGACAGUUUUACAUCCUGGUGUAGGAGCUGCGAUACAAACGCAGAACUUUCUAUCUAUUUUCUGUCACUGUGUUUAUUCUGGUGAUUCCCAAAUUUAGCCCCCGGCUCGCUCACAGCCCACAGGGUCAAGGCAAAUGCUCCGGAGGUCAUUCACAGAGCCGUAUUAAAUAAUGCUUCAUUUCCAGCAGUUAAAAGGUCAAUGAGAAAGGUGUACAACUGUCGGUACUGAGUUUUGAGGGUUGCUGGUGAUCUGCAGAGCCAAAAUAUUUUGGAGCUAUUGACUUAAUCCUACUUCUUUUCUAAGAAAACUGUACACACUGGCAGGUAUGUAGAACUUCUCAAUUAUUGGUAUGCUACUCUAUACUUGCUGCAUAUUAAUCUCUCUUGUAGGACCCAAAUGAGCAACUCAAUUUGUUAAUCUUAAGUGCUCUUAUCAGAAUAAAAACACAAAUCUCUUUGCUAA